GACGAGCGCUGGCGGCGUGCCUAACACAUGCAAGUCGAGCGAGGAGAGUUCCUUUGGGAACAAACCUAGCGGCGACGGGUGAGUAACACGUGGGCAACCUGCCUUGUAGAGGGAAUAGCCUUCCGAAAAGGAAGAUUAAUACCGCAUAAUAUUACAGUUUCGCAUGAAACAGUAAUUAAAGGAGCAAUCCGCUACAAGAUGGGCCCGCGGCGCAUUAGCUAGUUGGUGAGGUAACGGCUCACCAAGGCGACGAUGCGUAGCCGACCUGAGGGGGUGAUCGGCCACAUUGGGACUGAGACACGGCCCAGACUCCUACGGGAGGCAGCAGUGGGGAAUAUUGCACAAUGGGGGAAACCCUGAUGCAGCAACGCCGCGUGAGUGAUGAAGGUUUUCGGAUCGUAAAGCUCUGUCUUCGGGGACGAUAAUGACGGUACCCGAGGAGGAAGCCACGGCUAACUACGUG
rnacentral:rRNA from 1 species